UAUAUUUACUUAUUGUUAGAUCAUUUAUAUAAAAUAUAUUCCUUAAAUAUUUGAGUAGGUAUUCAAUUUAGAAAUAUAUUACGAAUAAGAUGAAUUGAAAGAAAUUUUUUAAAAUUAAAUGUGAAAAUAUUCAAAGGGUUCAUAUACUCUAUUAAAUUAUUUUAUUAUCUGUUAUAAGGUGAUAGUGCAUAUGCAUUGAGGGGAUAUAUGCAGAAAGAGAGCUGAAGAACUGUAUUACUGAAGAAAUGUUUCAGAAUUAUCGGAAUAUGGAAACGCCACUUUCCAAUAUGUUUUAUGGUAUAAGACCAAAAUUGCAAACCACAAUGUCAGUUAUUGUUGCACAACAAUUUUGUUGUUUCAAUGUGCUACACAAUACAGCCAGAAUGAUACCUGAACAAGAGCUGCCGCCGUUAGAUGAAAUAAAUAUGGACCAAAUUAAUAAGAAGAGAAAUAAUAAAUUAUUUUGAAAGA